AGGCGGGGGAGACUGAGAGGGGGUGGCGCGCGCGCCAUUUCUAGUCGUUUUCAAAGAGCCUCGCGCUCGUUCUCACGGGCCCCCAUCGCCGGCGCCCGCUUUGCCCUGCAUAAUAAAAUGGCUAAUCAGGUGAAUGGUAAUGCGGUACAGUUAAAAGAAGAGGAAGAACCAAUGGACACUUCCAGUGUAACUCACACAGAGCACUACAAGACACUGAUAGAGGCAGGCCUCCCACAGAAGGUGGCAGAGAGACUUGAUGAAAUAUUUCAGACAGGGUUGGUAGCUUAUGUCGAUCUUGAUGAAAGAGCAAUUGAUGCUCUCAGAGAAUUUAAUGAAGAAGGCGCCCUCUCUGUCCUCCAACAGUUUAAGGAAAGUGACCUGUCUCAUGUACAGAACAAAAGUGCAUUUUUAUGUGGAGUUAUGAAGACCUACAGGCAAAGGGAGAAACAAGGGAGCAAGGUACAAGAAUCAACAAAGGGACCUGAUGAAGCAAAGAUUAAGGCUUUGCUUGAGAGGACUGGUUACACGUUAGAUGUAACCACAGGUCAGAGGAAAUAUGGUGGUCCUCCUCCAGAUAGUGUGUAUUCUGGUGUACAACCUGGCAUUGGGACAGAGGUUUUUGUAGGUAAGAUACCAAGAGAUCUCUAUGAAGAUGAGUUGGUGCCACUGUUUGAAAAGGCUGGUCCCAUUUGGGACUUGCGUCUUAUGAUGGAUCCUCUGUCUGGUCAGAAUAGAGGAUAUGCAUUCAUUACUUUCUGUGGAAAGGAUGCCGCACAGGAAGCUGUCAAGCUGUGUGACAGCUAUGAAAUCCGUCCUGGUAAACACCUUGGAGUAUGCAUCUCAGUGGCAAACAACAGGCUGUUUGUUGGAUCGAUUCCAAAGAACAAAACCAAGGAAAACAUAUUGGAAGAAUUCAGCAAAGUCACAGGUUUAACAGAGGGUUUGGUGGACGUUAUUCUCUAUCAUCAACCCGAUGACAAAAAGAAGAAUCGGGGGUUCUGCUUCCUUGAGUAUGAAGACCACAAGUCGGCAGCACAAGCCCGGCGCAGGCUUAUGAGUGGGAAAGUCAAAGUCUGGGGCAAUGUUGUGACCGUGGAGUGGGCCGACCCUGUGGAAGAACCAGAUCCGGAGGUUAUGGCCAAGGUGAAAGUUUUAUUUGUGAGAAAUUUGGCCACUACAGUGACAGAGGAAAUAUUGGAGAAAUCCUUUUCAGAAUUUGGGAAACUAGAAAGAGUGAAGAAACUAAAAGAUUAUGCCUUUGUUCACUUUGAAGACCGGGGAGCAGCAGUUAAGGCCAUGGAUGAGAUGAAUGGGAAAGAAAUAGAAGGGGAAGAAAUUGAGAUAGUGUUAGCCAAGCCUCCGGACAAGAAAAGGAAAGAGCGCCAGGCUGCCAGACAAGCCUCCAGAAGUACUGCGUAUGAAGAUUAUUACUACCAUCCCCCACCUCGUAUGCCGCCUCCUCUGAGAGGCCGGGGGCGUGGUGGGGGGAGAGGUGGCUAUGGCUACCCCCCCGAUUAUUAUGGCUAUGAAGAUUAUUAUGAUGACUACUAUGGCUAUGAUUACCAUGACUACCGUGGAGGCUAUGAAGACCCCUACUAUGGCUAUGAUGAUGGCUAUGCAGUAAGAGGAAGAGGAGGAGGAAGGGGUGGGCGCGGUGCUCCGCCACCACCACGGGGGCGCGGAGCACCACCUCCACGAGGUAGAGCUGGCUAUUCUCAGAGGGGGGCACCUUUGGGACCGCCAAGAGGAGCUCGGGGCGGGAGAGGGGGCCCUGCACAGCCACAGAGAGGCCGUGGUUCGCGAGGAGCUCGGGGUAACCGUGGGGGCAACGUAGGAGGCAAGAGAAAGGCCGAUGGGUACAACCAGCCUGACUCCAAGCGCCGUCAGACCAACAGCCAGCAGAACUGGGGCUCCCAGCCCAUCGCCCAGCAGCCGCUUCAGCAAGGUGGCGACUAUUCUGGGAAGCGUGGUUGAGGCUGCCCUGACCUGACAUGUCAUGAUGUCGACUUGCUAGGUGGGGUUCGCUGGGGACGAUACCAAUGGAGUUGUUGUAGAUGGUCUUCAUGAAUUGGCGCAUUCACGAUCACCCUGCGGCUAACCUGGUAAUGAGGCUCUCUGAACUUAGCUAGGCGGGUCCUUGGAUGGCAGACACCCAGCUCACCACUGGGCCCGUGCUCAGUCUUUGCAGCUCGCCAGGACCUUCCGGAGCUUGCACUUUGCCUGGCAUUGCCUUCGGGAACCCAGGUCACUUCCACACUACCAUGUUACUUCAAAGGAAGACUUCAAUGGAGGUGAUUUUGAUAUCAAUAUUAAUAAAAUCACAUUUUUGGUACUGAAGUAAGAUAGCCCUAAUGUAUUUUCUUCAUCUUACCUAUCUUCCUUACUCUGAGAUGACUUUCAUUCUCUCUUUAACUUAUCUGGACAUCAGCUCCAAGGGCAUAUUUCAGUAGGUUUUGGGAAAUCCUUGGAGAGGAACCUUUGAGAAGGUUCUGGGAGAGCCCUGAGAGGGUUGUGGCACUCUCCUAUGCAUUUUUGGGGCUUAGUGGCUAUGUACCUGCCCUUUCUUCUUUUCUUGAUCCACUUUACAGCUCUGUAUGUUGUAAAAGGAAAGCUUGUAAAAGGCAACUUAUAUAAGGAAUCUGUUGCUCCUCAGGGAUAGUUUUAUAGUAGUAAAUGGUAGAAAUACUUAUAAGCUCCAUGCAUUUCAACAUGGUUUUCUAAGUAUUUUCAAAAUAUGAGAAUGGAACAUUGCACAGUGCAGGAAUUAUUUUCUAACUUGCAUUUCUCUAGCACUUCGGCAUCUUCCAUAGGGACUCCCUGAGAUACACAAAGCAGGAAGCAUCAUCUCUGUUUUACUGAUGAGGAAGCAUGCUUUCAGACAGGGGAAGGGACUGGCUGAAGACAAUAUGGUCAGUCAGAAAACAACGUGUUUCAUGUAUGAAAUGUUUGCACAUAGACAAACAUGGCCUCCAUCACUGUAAUUGUGCAGUAAGAUUAUUACUACAAGAUAAAUAAACUUUGAGAUAACAAUGCAAUCUGCUAACCUAUUAUUUUGCCUGAGAUGGAAAAUACAAAACUUUUGUUGGGGUAUAUGCCCUAAUAAAAUUUCACCUGAUGCUGACUAUAAUCAAAUGUUAGCUGACAUAUUCUUGUCAUAAAUAAAGGGAUUUACUGUGUUUAAACAAGCCUAGUAAAGCUAUCUUUCUUAAACCAAUUCUCUUAGUGGCUUGUAAUGGACAAGGCUGUUCAGUAAAGCAUUUGUGUUAUGAUGAAGGUAGAGUCCUAUUUGAGUGUAGUGAAAUCAUUUCAUUCUCUUAAAAAGGCUAUUGGUAGGCUGUGUGUGGUCCAAAAGCCUGAACUAACAUAGCUUGACCGGCAUGCACACUCAUCCUGUGACUGGGAAAGCCUGGAGAGUAAGGCCAUUCACAAGUGUCUUAAUCUUCUUGGGAGGAAAUUCAACAAAAUUUGUAGUUUUUGGUAGAGUGUUUAUGUAUCUGUACAAACUGUAUUGAAAUACCUGUAUAAUGUUUAAUUUUUUUAAUAAAA